UUCUGAUAGUCACAGAACCAAGUUGAAUUGUUCAGUAGGAUCUUCUCUAGCUGCUUAGAGGAACAACUUCAAAACAAGUCCCCUAAGUUUAAAUCAGAUUCGUUAAGAGAGAUGAGCUGCUCAGACGACAACUCCGCAUGCAUACCCCUUCAAAAUAUAUCUAAUCUUAUGAACCGCAAGGACAAGUGUUGUAGAGCUUGCAUGAAGAAGGGAAAAUGCAACCACUGGACUCUAGUUGUGAUGCAAGAAAA